AAUAAAAUCAGCUGCAGACGAACAGAAGGAACAGAAGAUGGAGAGACUAAUCUGGAUCCUGGCUGCCUUUGGCCUCAGUUCGACCUCCAGGCUUGAGAGCAUAAAUUCGUUUUUGUGGAUGAGCUGAAGAACUGGACUGAAGCUCGGCGUUUCUGCAGAGAGACGUACAUAGACCUGGCAACCCUGGAGAGCCAGCAGGAAGUGGAGGCUCUGAAUGACCUGGCAACGUCAGUAAGCAAAACCUCCAAGGUUCCUGAUCCACUGACCGCUCAGAAUGAGGGACGAUCAGUAGAAAAGUUUGAAACUGGAGGGAGGAGCAAGAGGAGCAGCUCAGUGUGGCAGAGAAGAAACAGAAAGUUAUGGCUUUAGUUCUCACUGUUUUCAAUGUAGAGCCUUUAAAGCCAGUCAACCAUCCAACCAACUAACUAACCAACCAUCCAACCAACUAACUAACCAACCAUCCAACCAACACCCUAGUUGGGUCAGGAGCCUU